AUAAUACUCCAUAGAUUAGAGACACUGGAAUGUUCUUUAGUCGAAAGUUCUGGCGCCUUAGGAUGGAUCUGCGGUCGAUUAGGUUGUUGUUGGGGUAACGGCCCAACAAGCCUGUAAUCGAUACGGGUUGUGGGAGCAAGAGCCCGGAGAUGGAAUCUGAGACACGAUUCCAGGCCCUACGGGGCGCAGCAGGCGCGAAAACUUUACAAUGCAGGAAACUGUGAUAAGGGAACUCCGAGUGCCCGUAUACGCGGGCUGUCCAGGUGUUUAAAAAUCAUCUGAAGAAAGGGCCGGGCAAGACCGGUGCCAGCCGCCGCGGUAAUACCGGCGGCUCGAGUGGUGGCCACUAUUAUUGGGCUUAAAGCGUCCGUAGCUGGACCGAUAAGUCUCUUGGGAAAUCCGCCGGCUCAACCGGCGGGCGUCUAAGGGAUACUGUUAGUCUAGGGACCGGGAGAGGUGAGAGGUACUCCGGGGGUAGGAGUGAAAUCCUGUAAUCCCCGGGGGACCACCGAUGGCGAAGGCAUCUCACCAGAAUGGCUCCGACAGUGAGGGACGAAAGCUGGGGGAGCGAACCGGAUUAUAUACCCGGGUAGUCCCAGCCGUAAACUAUGCGCGUUAGGUGU
rnacentral:rRNA from 1 species